CCAUUGCACCCUCCCUCCCGAUGCUCUGUGGGUAUGGCUGGACCAUGUCAUAAUCCAGGGAUUGUGUAAGGAAUAUCUGUAGAUAUUCUAACUGUAAGGAAUAUUUCAGACUAAGACAUAUCAAGAUGCUGAUGUUGGGGCACCCCAGCCCUCCUGGAGCCUAUACCACAGAUUCAUGCAUCCAGAGUGUCCUCUGGGUUGCCACAGACUGAAGGAAGCGCUGGUGAUCAGCUCCAUGCUUACUCUUGGGUUCACCACCACCAGGCAUGUCGGUGACAUCAUAUGAGCGUCCUUGUUGAAGCAACACACGAAUGAAUCAGGACAGUGACUCUUCCUCUUUGAACGUGUGGACGGCACGACAGAAGUGAAAAAUGCUGAGUGUGUAACAAACGCCCCCUUCACACACAUACACGCACGCACGUGCGUGCACACAUACACGCACAUGCACACACACAUACACACACGUGUGUGCACGUGGGCCCGAGCUCUGUGCAAACACAGCAAAGAGUGAUCUUCAUAUUCUGAAAAAGAGGCCAGGGUGUCUUCUCAAACCACAUCAUGAAGAAAUUUAUGAAAAAGAGAAGGACCUGGAAAUGGGGAAACGUGUGAUUCAGUUGAGCAACAGAAGCAAAUGCCCUUUCUGGUAUCUUCACUAUUUCCUCUAAACACUCCACAGAGGUAAGAAGUUUGAGGAGACAGCCUGGAGCACCAGCUGUACAGGUGGCAGCCUGGAGCACUCACUGUACAGCAACAGCCUGGAGCACUCACUGUACAGUUGACAGCCUGGAGCACUCACUGUAUAGUCAACAGCCUAGAGCACUCACUGUACAGUUGACACCCUGGAGCACUCACUGUACAGUCGACAGCCUGGAGCACUCACUGUACAGUCGACAGCAUGGAGCACCAGCUGUACAGGUGGCAGCCUGGAGCACUCACUGUACAGUUGACAGCCUGGAGCACCAGCUGUACAGUCGAAGACAAUCUCUAGUGAGUUCCACCACCCUGUCUUAAACUAUAGCCGUGAAGAGGAGCAUCCCCACUGAGUUCAAGAAGGCCAUACUUGAUUCCUGGAAAGUCAGAAGACAUACAAAAUCUACCAUCCUUACCAAGCACUCAGCCACCAGGAAGAUAGCAAUGUCCUUUUUCUGGACCCUCGUCACACCCCUACCGCUAAAGACUGUCUCUAGAGAGAAGCCAGCUUUGACUAAAUUUCAGCCCCCGUGGGUCUGUAAAGCAAAGCUGUCGGUUGCCUGCAGCCUCCUCGUUGAUCCUCAGUGUAGAAGAAGCAGCUUGGGGCUAAUCAGCAGCAGAGAUGCUCUUUACCUUGGGGCUAAUCAGCAGCAGAGAUGCUCUUUACCUUGGGGCUAAUAUCAGCAGAGAUGCUCUUUACCUUGGGGCUGAUCAGCAGUAGAGAUGCUCUCUACCCUGGGGCCAAUCAGCGGGACGCUGUUUCUAGGGCCUUCAGCGGCUUUCACUUUGGACCCUGGGGAAGCCACUGGCUUUUUAUUUGUGUCACAUGUGGCACGGAUACAAUGAUAAUAUGUAGCAGGGGAACUGCUGGUGCUCCAGCUUCCUUUGGAUGGAUUUACUUUCAUUUCAGUGACUGAUUCUCCAUUGAGAUUCAUUUUCAUUUCCUGCUAAGUGUCAGUCCAGGGGGAAGAGAAACUGAGCUGGGCUAGUAAGGAACGACUCAGAUCAUAAGGAAGGUUCAGCCAGCCCCACAGAUUGGCUAAAAUCCUUGAAAAGUAAGGAAGUUUUAAGUAUUUAUAGAUUAAAAAAAAAAAAAAAAAAAAAACCAAACUGGUACAGGAUCAUAAGUAGCUGGAUGGUGGUGGCACACACCUUUAAUCCCAGUACUUGGGAAGCAGAGGCAGGUGAAUCUCAGUGAGUUUGAGGCUAGCCUGGUCUUCAUCAGAGUUACAGGAAAGUCAGGCCAAGACAGCCAGUACUUACACAGAGAAACACUGUCUUGAAAAAGAAAGAAAGAAAGAAAGAAAGAAAGAAAGAAAGAAAGAAAGAAAGAAAGAAAUUCAGUAUUAUAUUAGAAAUGGUUAAAAUGAACGCUGUAAGGUGCUGAAGUAAUUACAAAAGAACAGGGGGUUAGGGGGUUGUGUAUCUGUUAUUCAGUCACUCAAGGGACUGGGGUAAUUAUGAGUCUGAGGCCAGCCUGGGUUGCACAGCAAGACCCUGUCACAGACCAAACAUAACAAAGGAUUGGGACAGAACCCCAGAAAGAAGCAGGGACAGCACAAUAAAAAUAAAGGCAAAAUUAAUAAAA